rnacentral:rRNA from 1 species
CAGCAGCCGCGGUAACACGAAGGGUGCAAGUGUUACUCGGAAUUACUGGGCGUAAAGCGUGCGUAGGUGGUGGUUUAAGUCCGUUGUGAAAGCCCUGGGCUCAACCUGGGAAUUGCAGUGGAUACUGGGUCACUAGAGUGUGGUAGAGGAUAGUGGAAUUUCCGGUGUAGCAGUGAAAUGCGUAGAGAUCGGAAGGAACAUCUGUGGCGAAGGCGACUAUCUGGGCCAACACUGACACUGAGGCACGAAAGCGUGGGGAGCAAACAGGAUUAGAUACCCGUGUAGUCCCUGUCUCUUAUAC